AAAACGUGCUACUCUAUUACAUAAAAACAUAUAACAUAUAAGAAAAAGUUAAUUUUCAUUCAUAAUUUUUUAUUUUAUAUAUGUGUUUACUGCACCUGAAAGUCCAUUAUCACUAUCAUUUCCCAAAAGCGGAGCAUGAAGCUCAACGCGAAUUGACAGUUGUUUGUGAUGUCUGUUAGUGUUAGUACAAUUCAGGCAAUUUUUCCUCUCAUGCAUUAGUAUGUGUGGUAUUGACGUUUGUUUGUUUUGGAGUCAAUUCAGAAGUCGCAAGUGAUAUGGAUGCCGAAAUUUUUAUUUCGCUGCUAUGGAACAAGUUAAGUGAUGAACCUUUCUGAUCAAAGCGAAGCAAUGGUCACAGGCGCACGAGGGCAUCAUGGAGUAUAUUGCCAUGGAUUGUGUUAUUAACGACAACUUCCCUUAUUCGAAAUCAGUAUUGAUCGAGAUCAAGGAUGUGAAAUAAAUUUCCAACUGGUUCAUCAAGGGCAAAAUUUUGAGCGACUUCAUCGAGCUGAAUGUGAAGUUCGUCCUGACCCGGAACACGAUCGACGAUGAUGUGUCCGCAACUCGACUCGAGGAACUCCGACACAAAAGUAUCGGUUCAGAAAGAGCGAAAUCACCCAGUUGUUGGCAUUUCUGAUUCGUCAUUCAUCGCCCAGGAUCCGCUUAUUAACAGCUGUACGUUGAAGCGAAAUGCGUUCGAGAAGCUGUCCUUGCUCCAGGAGUACGUGCACCAGGAAUUGCGACAUAUGUAUGCUGAGCGCCUUUCUGGACGAAGAGAUAGUGAGAUAGUGUUUGAAGGAAAAUUACUAUGUAAUUUUAAUCGUAAGAAUAAUUACUGCAAUGGUGGAAUAAAAUAGACAGUCUAGAAUGGAUGAAUAAGCAUAUACUCUCUCGUAGGUAAAUUCUAAGGAUAAUCACAGGAACUGAACACAUAUCACAUAUAAUUAAGUACCCCCCCCCCUUGUUACGAAAUGAUAUAAUUAUUGGUUCAUCAAAUUUUACACUUUUUUCUAACCGUGUUUCUGAGACUGUUGAAAAAAUAUGUGGCAACAGAGCGUGUGAAAUAAAUCAUGCUAGUUGUGUAUGUUUGGAAAUAAAAGAACUUAGCGUGUGGAUAAGUACACCGCAACUGGACUAAAGUUAGUUUUUUUGAAAUACUGUUUAUUACAGCCAUGUUUUUUGUCCAGUAGGUUUUUCAUGUUUAUUUAACAUAAGAACACCGCUCUGAUGUGCAAGUAGUGUACGCGAGGCCUGGCGUACUACACCCCGGCCGAAUGUACUCUCCAAUGGACACAAAUUUGGGAAGGCUCGUGGUUGCCGCAGCAGUUGUGGUUUCAGGAUUUCCCAUAUGCAAUCAGCUGCAUGUAGCUGAAAUAUUUGCAAUGUUUACCUGUCAUUCCACUAUAUUAAUAAAUGCAUGUAUGUGUAUGUGAAUGAUGUACGGUUUUGUGUAGUGCGAUGACUCUUUCACAUUGUUAUCCGGUUAUCCGUCCAAACCCAG